rnacentral:rRNA from 1 species
UACGGAGGGGGCUAGCGUUGUUCGGAAUUACUGGGCGUAAAGCGCACGUAGGCGGCUUUGUAAGUUAGAGGUGAAAGCCCGGAGCUCAACUCCGGAAUUGCCUUUAAGACUGCAUCGCUUGAAUCAUGGAGAGGUGAGUGGAAUUCCGAGUGUAGAGGUGAAAUUCGUAGAUAUUCGGAAGAACACCAGUGGCGAAGGCGACUCACUGGACAUGUAUUGACGCUGAGGUGCGAAAGCGGGGGGAGCAAACAGG